rnacentral:rRNA from 1 species
CCUACGGGAGGCAGCAGUGGGGAAUAUUGGGCAAUGGACGCAACUCUGACCCAGCAACGCCGCGUGAAUGAUGAAGGCCUUCGGAUUGUAAAGUUCUGUGAUGGGGGAUGAACACAAUGACGGUACCCCAAUAGCAAGCCACGGCUAACUACGUGCCAGCAGCCGCGGUAAUACGGAGGUGGCAAGCGUUAUCCGGAAUGACUGGGCGUAAAGGGUGCGUAGGGGGUUCAGUAAGUUGGCGGUGUAAUUCCGGGGCUCAACCUCGGCGCUACCGCCAAAACUAUUAGACUAGAGUGCAGGAGAGGUAAGUGGAAUUCCUAGUGUAGCGGUGGAAUGCGUAGAUAUUAGGAGGAACCUCGGGGGCGAAGGCGACUUACUGGGCUGCAACUGACGCUGAGGCACGAAAGCGUGGGUAGCAAACAGGAUUAGAUACCCUUGUAGUC